GACGUAGGGCGCGAGCGUUGUCCGGAUUUAUUGGGCGUAAAGAGCUCGUAGGCGGCUUGUCGCGUCGUCCGUGAAAACCUGCGGCUCAACUGCAGGCUGGCGGUCGAUACGGGCAGGCUGGAGUUCGGUAGGGGAGACUGGAAUUCCUGGUGUAGCGGUGAAAUGCGCAGAUAUCAGGAGGAACACCGAUUGCGAAGGCAGCUCGCUGGGACGUAACUGACGCUGAGACGCGAAAGCGUGGGGAGCAAACAGG
rnacentral:rRNA from 1 species